rnacentral:rRNA from 1 species
UACAGAGGUCUCAAGCGUUGUUCGGAUUCAUUGGGCGUAAAGGGUGUGUAGGUGGCGCCGUAAGUCGGGUGUGAAAUUUCGGAGCUUAACUCCGAAACUGCAUUCGAUACUGCGGUGCUUGAGGACUGGAGAGGAGACUGGAAUUCAUGGUGUAGCAGUGAAAUGCGUAGAGAUCAUGAGGAAGACCAGUAGCGAAGGCGGGUCUCUGGACAGUUCCUGACGCUGAGGCACGAAGGUCAGGGGAGCAAACGGG